rnacentral:rRNA from 1 species
UGGGGAAUUUUGGACAAUGGGGGAAACCCUGAUCCAGCCAUGCCGCGUGAGUGAAGAAGGCCUUCGGGUUGUAAAGCUCUUUCAGCCGGAACGAAACGGUUACGGUUAAUACCCGUGACUACUGACGGUACCGGAAGAAGAAGCACCGGCUAACUACGUGCCAGCAGCCGCGGUAAUACGUAGGGUGCGAGCGUUAAUCGGAAUUACUGGGCGUAAAGCGUGCGCAGGCGGUUUUGUAAGUCAGAUGUGAAAUCCCCGGGCUUAACCUGGGAACUGCGUUUGAAACUACAAGGCUAGAGUGUAGCAGAGGGGGGUGGAAUUCCACGUGUAGCAGUGAAAUGCGUAGAGAUGUGGAGGAACACCGAUGGCGAAGGCAGCCCCCUGGGUUAACACUGACGCUCAGGCACGAAAGCGUGGGGAGCAAACA